rnacentral:rRNA from 1 species
GACGAACGCUGGCGGCGUGCUUAACACAUGCAAGUCGAACGGAAAGGCCCCAGCUUGCUGGGGUACUCGAGUGGCGAACGGGUGAGUAACACGUGGGUGAUCUGCCCUGCACUCUGGGAUAAGCCUGGGAAACUGGGUCUAAUACCGGAUAGGACCGUGCUUUAGUGUGUGCGGUGGAAAGUUUUUCGGUGCAGGAUGAGCCCGCGGCCUAUCAGCUUGUUGGUGGGUAAUGGCCUACCAAGGCGGCGACGGGUAGCCGGCCUGAGAGGGUGUACGGCCACAUUGGGACUGAGACACGGCCCAGACUCCUACGGGAGGCAGCAGUGGGGAAUAUUGCACAAUGGGCGCAAGCCUGAUGCAGCGACGCCGCGUGGGGGAUGACGGCCUUCGGGUUGUAAACCCCUUUCGGCAGGGACGAAGCUUUUGUGACGGUACCUGCAGAAGAAGCACCGGCUAACUACGUG